UUAAUCCACUCCUUCAAAUCCUUGAGCAUUUUCAACUGCCAUAAGUAGCUUCUCUCGCAAAUCUUCAAAAGAUUCAUAAAGAGGUAGCGUCUGAAGCCAGCCCUGCCUGUACCAAAUUUUGACAGGAACCACGAAAUGGAUAGCUGCUCCCAUCCUGCCUUUGCUACUACUCUGCGGUAUCAUUGAGGAGUCAUUGGACUUCUCUGCGACAACGUACCCUUAACCUGUAACGUUUGGUUGUCAUUUCCUGGGAAAUUGUGGGGGGAUGAUAAAGUUUUCCUAACGUGAAAGGCACUGGGAAGCCAUUAGGUGUUUGUGGUGGAAUGGACUGCAACCUGAACAAGGGUGCUCAGCCAGCGAGACGGACGUGAUGACAAUCUGUAAGGUUGUGGGACUUUCCCCAGCAGGCACUGAGGAUCCUACUCCCAAACUCAGCACAACAUUUAAGCCUUCAGUACACUCUCUGUGCUGCGCUUCACGUGCUCCGAUUUGGAUCGUGUUGCAAGUACCUUACAUG